rnacentral:misc_RNA from 1 species
UAAAUAUGUAAGUAGUGUGACUCAGGAUAUGCAGAAAAGCCGCAUUUUCAAAUUAAGUCGGAUUGCUAAUUAUUCUUCUUGGUCUUCUGAUUGGCGUCCUGUAUUGCAUACAUAUCCUCGUGAAGGACUACCAAGCCAUAUCUGCUGCCAGGGUCUUUCGGCUGAUAUUCAAACGGGACCUGAACUCUGUGAGACAUAAAAUAAACGUUCGGUGGGGAAGAAUACUCCACUACGAUACAAUUCAAUGUACUCGGUACAUUUUCUGCGAUCUUGGAAUGCGUCCGCCGAACAGCCAACUGCGAGAGGAUUUCAUACAAAUGCUUACACUUGAACCAAAAGAGGAAGACGUAGCUGCGUUGGACAUUUUCAAGAACGCUUACCACGAUGGAAAGCUGGCGGGCGAAACAAAAAAGGCGGAUCGGUGCAGAACUAAAUAUCCUAUGUGCCCGUUUAAGAUCGAAUUUUUGUAUGAAGUUAUCCAAUAUUUAGUACAGUUUCAUUAGAUCCUUUUAGUUAAUAAAAAGAUGCCAAAUAUCUCUGCCAUAAAGUUGAUAAUGAAAUGUUAAUAUUUUCA